UGAUGAAGGCCUUAGGGUUGUAAAGCUCUUUCAGCUGGGAAGAUAAUGACGGUACCAGCAGAAGAAGCCCCGGCUAACUCCGUGCCAGCAGCCGCGGUAAUACGGAGGGGGCUAGCGUUGUUCGGAAUUACUGGGCGUAAAGCGCACGUAGGCGGAUCGGAAAGUUGGGGGUGAAAUCCCGGGGCUCAACCCCGGAACURGCCUUCAAUACUACUGGURUUGAGUUCGAGAGAGGUGAGUGYAAUUCCGAGUGUAGAGAUGAAAUUCGUAGAUAUUCGGAAGAAACCCCCUGGCCAAAGGGGCUCCCUGGCUCCGUACCGGACCUUAAGUGCCAAAACGAGGAACACCAGUGGCGAAGGCGGCUCACUGGCU
rnacentral:rRNA from 1 species